GGUGGUUCAGUGGUAGAAUAUUUGCCUUGCAUGCAUGAGGGCCUGGGUUCGAUUCCUCAGCACCA
rnacentral:tRNA from 1 species